rnacentral:tRNA from 1 species
GGCGGGAUAGCUCAGAUGGUAGAGCACAUGACUGAAAAUCAUGGUGUCCCCGGUUCAAUUCCGGGUCCCGCCA